rnacentral:rRNA from 1 species
UCCUUAAUAUAAAUUGAAGGUAAAAUUAGUAGUAGUUAUGAUCUAGAAACUUAAAGAUUUUGGCGGUAUUUUAGUCCUUUCAGAGGAGCCUGUUCUAUAAUUGAUAGUCCACGAUAAAUCUAACUUAUUUUAAAUAGUUUGUAUACCGUCGUGGUUGAGUAUUUCAUUAGAAUAAAAAUAUUCAAAGUUUAAAAUAAUAAAUGAAUUCAGAUCAAGGCACAACUUAUAAAUAAGAAAGUAAAUGGGCUACAAUAAGAUUAACUUAAUAACGGAUUAUUUAAUGAAAAAGAUUGAUGAAGGUGGAUUUGAAAGUAAUUAAGUCAAAUUUAGAUUUAAUGACUAAGGCUCUAAAAUAUGC